rnacentral:rRNA from 1 species
GUGUCAGCCGCCGCGGUAAUACGUAGGUGGCAAGCGUUGUCCGGAUUUACUGGGCGUAAAGAGCGCGCAGGCGGUCGAGUAAGUCGAAUGUGAAAGCCCCCGGCUUAACUGGGGAGGGUCAUUCGAUACUGUUCGACUUGAAGGCAGGAGAGGGCAGCAGAAUUCCCGGUGUAGUGGUGAAAUGCGUAGAUAUCGGGAGGAAUACCAGUGGCGAAGGCGGCUGCCUGGCCUGUUCUUGACGCUGAGGCGCGAAAGCUGGGGGAGCAAACGGGAUUAGAAACCCCCGUAGUCC